AACGAACGCUGGCGGCAGGCUUAACACAUGCAAGUCGAACGGGUGUAGCAAUACAUCAGUGGCAGACGGGUGAGUAACACGUGGGAACCUUCCUAGGGGUACGGAACAACUCAGGGAAACUUGAGCUAAUACCGUAUACGUCCGUGAGGAGAAAGAUUUAUCGCCCUUAGACGGGCCCGCGUCGGAUUAGCUAGUUGGUGGGGUAACGGCCUACCAAGGCGACGAUCCGUAGCUGAUCUUAGAGGAUGAUCAGCCACACUGGGACUGAGACACGGCCCAGACUCCUACGGGAGGCAGCAGUGGGGAAUCUUGGACAAUGGGCGCAAGCCUGAUCCAGCCAUGCCGCGUGAGUGAAGAAGGUCUUCGGAUUGUAAAGCUCUUUUGCCAGGGACGAUAAUGACGGUACCUGGAGAAUAAGCCCCGGCAAACUUCGUGCCAGCCGCCGCGGUAA
rnacentral:rRNA from 1 species